CAUUUAUUGCCUUUUUUUACACUUUUCAUUGUCUAAUGUUCAGCCACUUCAUCUUCUGAAAAAGGCUCUUGAGAGUGAACUUUGAUCUAGGAGAAAGUGAAAACAGUAUUGCUACACUAGAUUGCAGGCAACAAUGGCAGAGAGACUUGGUAUAUGUGCAAUCACUCCUGAUACACCAAACUGGACGUGCACCAAACUGGACGUGCAAGGUGCGAGUUGUAGAUAUAUGUUGACCAGGAGAGAGUUCAGACAGAAAGAUAAAGUAUUUGAACAUGAUCUUCCAAGAUGAACAGGAAGACCAAAUCAAAGCAAUCAUUUAUGGUGAUGACAUCCCCAAUUAUGAAAAGAUAUUCAGACUAUUUCAUACCUACUUGAUAACGGGUGCACACAUACAGCUACCAAAUUUGAGAUACGAAAAACCGUUGCAUACGUUUGAGUGGGUUAUCGACAAAAAAGACCAUAAUUGAUCCAAUUAACAAAGACAAUCCAGAUGAAGAAGAGUUUCCGCCACCCACUAAACUUACUGUGACGUCCUUUAGACACAUUAAGGAUCAAGCCUCUCGAUCUAUCAAGAAUCCAA